rnacentral:rRNA from 1 species
UACGUAGGGUGCAAGCGUUGUCCGGAAUUAUUGGGCGUAAAGAGCUCGUAGGCGGUUUGUUGCGUCGGCUGUGAAAUCCCUCGGCUUAACCGGGGAACUGCGUCCGAUACUGGAUGGCUUGAGUUUGGGAGAGGGAUGCGGAAUUCCAGGUGUAGCGGUGAAAUGCGUAGAUAUCUGGAGGAACACCGGUGGCGAAGGCGGCAUCCUGGACCAACACUGACGCUGAUGAGCGAAAGCCAGGGGAGCAAACGGG